AUUGAACGCUGGCGGCAUGCCUUACACAUGCAAGUCGAACGGCAGCACGGGUGCUUGCACCUGGUGGCGAGUGGCGAACGGGUGAGUAAUACAUCGGAACAUGUCCUGUAGUGGGGGAUAGCCCGGCGAAAGCCGGAUUAAUACCGCAUACGAUCUACGGAUGAAAGCGGGGGACCUUCGGGCCUCGCGCUAUAGGGUUGGCCGAUGGCUGAUUAGCUAGUUGGUGGGGUAAAGGCCUACCAAGGCGACGAUCAGUAGCUGGUCUGAGAGGACGACCAGCGACACUGGGACUGAGACACGGCCCAGACUCCUACGGGAGGCAGCAGUGGGGAAUUUUGGACAAUGGGCGAAAGCCUGAUACAGCAAUGCCGCGUGUGUGAAGAAGGCCUUCGGGUUGUAAAGCACUUUUGUCCGGAAAGAAAUCCUUGGCCCUAAUACGGUCGGGGGAUGACGGUACCGGAAGAAUAAGCACCGGCUAACUACGUG
rnacentral:rRNA from 1 species